UGCAGUCGAGCGAACGGACGAGAAGCUUGCUUCUCUGAUGUUAGCGGCGGACGGGUGAGUAACACGUGGAUAACCUACCUAUAAGACUGGGAUAACUUCGGGAAACCGGAGCUAAUACCGGAUAAUAUUUUGAACCGCAUGGUUCAAAAGUGAAAGACGGUCUUGCUGUCACUUAUAGAUGGAUCCGCGCUGCAUUAGCUAGUUGGUAAGGUAACGGCUUACCAAGGCAACGAUGCAUAGCCGACCUGAGAGGGUGAUCGGCCACACUGGAACUGAGACACGGUCCAGACUCCUACGGGAGGCAGCAGUAGGGAAUCUUCCGCAAUGGGCGAAAGCCUGACGGAGCAACGCCGCGUGAGUGAUGAAGGUCUUCGGAUCGUAAAACUCUGUUAUUAGGGAAGAACAUAUGUGUAAGUAACUGUGCACAUCUUGACGGUACCUAAUCAGAAAGCCACGGCUAACUACGUGCCAGCAGCCGCGGUAAUACGUAGGUGGCAAGCGUUAUCCGGAAUUAUUGGGCGUAAAGCGCGCGUAGGCGGUUUUUUAAGUCUGAUGUGAAAGCCCACGGCUCAACCGUGGAGGGUCAUUGGAAACUGGAAAACUUGAGUGCAGAAGAGGAAAGUGGAAUUCCAUGUGUAGCGGUGAAAUGCGCAGAGAUAUGGAGGAACACCAGUGGCGAAGGCGACUUUCUGGUCUGUAACUGACGCUGAUGUGCGAAAGCGUGGGGAUCAAACAGGAUUAGAUACCCUGGUAGUCCACGCCGUAAACGAUGAGUGCUAAGUGUUAGGGGGUUUCCGCCCCUUAGUGCUGCAGCUAACGCAUUAAGCACUCCGCCUGGGGAGUACGACCGCAAGGUUGAAACUCAAAGGAAUUGACGGGGACCCGCACAAGCGGUGGAGCAUGUGGUUUAAUUCGAAGCAACGCGAAGAACCUUACCAAAUCUUGACAUCCUUUGACAACUCUAGAGAUAGAGCCUUCCCCUUCGGGGGACAAAGUGACAGGUGGUGCAUGGUUGUCGUCAGCUCGUGUCGUGAGAUGUUGGGUUAAGUCCCGCAACGAGCGCAACCCUUAAGCUUAGUUGCCAUCAUUAAGUUGGGCACUCUAAGUUGACUGCCGGUGACAAACCGGAGGAAGGUGGGGAUGACGUCAAAUCAUCAUGCCCCUUAUGAUUUGGGCUACACACGUGCUACAAUGGACAAUACAAAGGGCAGCGAAACCGCGAGGUCAAGCAAAUCCCAUAAAGUUGUUCUCAGUUCGGAUUGUAGUCUGCAACUCGACUACAUGAAGCUGGAAUCGCUAGUAAUCGUAGAUCAGCAUGCUACGGUGAAUACGUUCCCGGGUCUUGUACACACCGCCCGUCACACCACGAGAGUUUGUAACACCCGAAGCCGGUGGAGUAACCUUUUAGGAGCUAGCCGUCGAAGGUGGGACAAAUGAUUGGGG
rnacentral:rRNA from 2 species